GAGGGUAUAACUCAGUGGUAGAGUGCAUGGUUAGCGUGCACAAGGGCCUGGGUUCAGUCCCCAGUGCCUCCA
rfam:Camelus ferus unplaced genomic scaffold scaffold300, whole genome shotgun sequence.